GGCAACUUGGCCGAGCGGUCUAAGGCGGUAGACUCAAGAUAAUAUCUUCUGCUCAGUAAUGAGCGGUGCAUUCUACUCUCGCAAGAGGCGUGAGUUCGAAUCUCACAGUUGUCA